ACACCGGCCCAGGGGGCAGGACGGCCACAUCCAGGCCAGUCUGAAAGCCGGAAGGUGCCUCAGAAAGGAUCUGCGUUAAUGCUGACAGCACAGGAACAAUAGCAAUAGAAGGCUAGCAGCUCCACAAGGUCCGGGAUUUUCAUCUCGUCUGUUCCCCGCUGUGUCCUCAGCCCCAUAAAUAGUGCCUGGCGCACCGCAGACUGAAGGCACAACCCCGAGGAAAGGUUGUGCUGAGGAAGGAAGCUGAUCUCAGGGAAGUGCUGCCCUCCACAGACACUGCCUGUUGGAAAGUGUCCUUGGAUGCCCCACGGGCCUCUGUUUCCUCAUCUGUAAAAUGGGAUCGACACAACAGUCUUCCUUCUGGGUCAUCACGAGGAUUGAGUGAGGUCAGGUCUAUGGAGCAGUCACCCAGCGCCUGGCAAGUGAUUAAGCCCUUGCUCUGAGUGCCAAGGGUGGUAUGUUGACCCUGCGUCAUCCCCCAGCAGCUACCGGGUGCUGAUGCGGUCAGUCUUGUCAAUGCGGUUACUACUUGUCAUCAGCAGCAGCAUCCUCAGCGAUUACGGGCCAUGUGUUCAGUGCCAGAUGAGGACCAGGAGAGGCGAUGCGGUGAAGGAGGGGUCAGGGACGGCUUCCCGGAGGAUGCGGACGCGAAGGACGGGGAAGUCCCUCUGCUCACACACCUCCUGCUCAGCCGCUGCCUCACGGCCCCGCAGCACUGCUACCCCACCCCCACUCCGACGGCAGGGACAGCAGAUCACAGGCAGAGGAGUCCUGUGAAAAGCAGGCUUCCAGCCAAGGACAGCUGCCAGAUUCACCUGGGUCGGGCGGGAAGCUCUCUGUCAGGAAGCACAAUACCCUUUGGCUUGAAAGAAAAGGGGUGCCGACUGGGCUAUUUGCAGGCCUGGACAGGUUUCUGGGGAGAAGUUUCAGAUUAC